rnacentral:rRNA from 1 species
GACGAACGCUGGCGGCGUGCUUAACACAUGCAAGUCGAACGAAGUGGCGAACGGGUGAGUAAUACGUGGGUAACCUGCCCUCCUUUUUGGGAUAAGCCUUGGAAACGGGGUCUAAUACCGAAUAAAGGGGGAUGGGCUCGCGGCCUAUCAGCUUGUUGGUGGGGUGAUGGCCUACCAAGGCGGUGACGGGUAGCCGGCCUGGGAGGUUGACUGGCAACGUUGGGACUGAGAUACGGCCCAGACUAGUGCGGUAGGCCGCAGGCGGGGAUGUUGAACAAUGGCCGAGAGCCUGAUGCAGCGUCGCGGCGUGGGCGAUGGGGGCUUUCGUGCUGUAAAACUCUCUCGUCAGGGGACCGGUAGGCGCAGAAGAAGCGCCGGCUGACUACGCGCCAGCAGCCGCGGUAAUUC